rnacentral:lncRNA from 1 species
CGCCACAAAACCAAUAAGGUACGGCGUCAACGCUGCGGGCGAAGAGGUUUCGCCACACGCCACGCCCUUCGCCAUAGUACCAAUAAGGCACGGCGUCAAGGGCUGCGGGCGAACAGGUUUCGUCCGCCGACGCCCUUCGCCAUAGUUUCGCCCGCCCACGCCGUUCGCCAUAGUGCCAAUAAGGCAUGGCGUCAAGGGCUACGGGCGAAUAGGUUUCGCCCACCCACGCCCUUCGCCAUAGUACCAAAAAGGCACGGCGUCAAGGGCUGCGGGCGAAUAGGUUUCGCCACACGCCACGCCCUUCGCCAUAGUACCAAUAAGGCACGGCGUCAAGGGUUGCGGGCGAACAGGUUUCGCCUGCCGACGCCCUUCGCCAUAGUGCCAAUAAGGCACAGCGUUUCGCCCGCCCACGCCCUUCGUCAUAGUGCCAAUAAGGCACGGCGUCAAGGGCUGCGGGCGAAUAGGUUUCGCCCACCCACGCCCUUCGCCAUAGUACCAAUAACGUACGGCGUCAAGGGCUGCGGGCGACUAGGUUUCGCCACACGCCACGCCCUUCGCCAUAGUGCCAAUAAGGCACAGCGUCAAGGGCUGCGGGGGAACAGGUUUCGCCCGCCCACGCCCUUCGCCAUAGAACCAAUAAGGCACGGCGUCAAGGGCUACGGGCGAACAGGUACGGCGUCAAGGGCUGCGGGCGAACAGGUUUCGCCCACCCACGCCCUUCGCCAUAGUACCAAUAAGCUAUGGCGUCAAGGGCUAUGGCCGAGGAGACCUUUCGCCACACCCACACCCUUCGCCACAAUACCAAUAAGGUACGGCGUCAAGGGCUGGGGGCGAAUAAGUUUCGCCACACCCAGGCCCUUCGCCACAAUUCCAAUAAGGCACGGCGUCAAGGGCUGCGGGCGACUAGGUUUCGCCACACGCUACGCCCUUCGCCACAAUACCAAUAAGGUACGGCGUCAAGGGCUGGGGGCGAAUAGAUUCCGCCACACCUAUACCCUUCGCCACAAUACCAUUAAGGUGCGGCGUCAAGGGCUGCGGGCGAACAGGUUUCGCUCACCCACGCCCUUCGCCAUAGUGCCAAUAAGGUAUGGCGUCAAGGGCUGGGGGUGA